ensembl:lncRNA
AUUUACAAGCUCAAGUUUUAUAGUGUUUCUUUAGUAUAAUAUUAAUAGAUGAGGUCAUUUUGAUGGCAUAAAUUUUAAACUCAAAAACUUGAAUUUAUAACUUCAUUUAUUCAACAAAUAUUGACUGAUUUUCUUUUUGCUAUGAGAUACUGUAUUAAUGUACUGUUUUCCAUCUGGAUUCCAGGGGUUAUGAAUGUCAAUAACAGUUUCAUGUCAGUCACAGCAUCUACAAAAUUAAAGUAAAAUUUUUCAGAACCCCCAAAACACUUAUAUGGGACAUUCCCAAGAACACAAUUUGAAUUGCAGUGUCUUCAUCUAAUCGCAGUAUUUUCCAGUUGAGAAAAUGGAAUCCCUGAAAGAGCUAAUAAUUUGCGCAAAGGAAGAAGCACAAUCCUCCCAGAGGGCAUGUGGAAGUGAGAUAUGUCCUGGGGAUUUACCUUAUGUGUGAUCUGACUGUGAACAGAGCGAAACAUGUUUGGUGGUGAGUGUAGCGGACCAUAUAAGCAAGGACUAGAGAGACCUGUACAUUAUAUGGAAAGGGAGCUCCUCCUGGAAAAACAUGCCUGGUGAGUAGGAAGGCUGCUUGUCUCCUCAAGUCCUUCAGAAUUUUAAAUGUCCAGCUUGAGGAGGAGUUUCAAUGUUUUUUUUUCUCAAUGGCCUCCUAUAUUUUGCCCUUUACUCUGAAUGCCCCAGGAGGUAUUGGUUCUUUAAAGGGGCACAAAGCAGAGCAGUUAAUACUAAACUGGGUUCUCUUUCCACAUUUAUGACGACUGAACCUCCAGAGAUGUGUCAAACCUUGUAUUGUCGUGUUAUAACCUUGUCAGAAAUGCAGUGUGACAGCCUAGAUUGAAUUCUAGUGUCAUAACCUUGUCAGAAUUCUCAUUUCAGAAUCUAACCAGGAUUUUAAUGUUAUAACUGUAUAGGCUUAAGGCCCUCAAGUUAAAAUACAAGAUAAAGAAAUAAGGCAGACACAACCCAAAAUAUUACUUUAUUACUGCUCAGAUCAGAUAGUGGAGAAAAUGCCCAAUAUCUGUAUGCAAGUAGACUUUCUAAUAUUCAACCACGGAAUUAGGCAGCCUGACUUCCCCGGCAUGGCAUCGUGACUUCCUCUGUCCAGGAUCCAGGACGGCUGGAGAGAGGCUGGGAACACCACCCUCUUGUGAGCUCCUUCACGGGAAGGGAAACAUCAGGUAGGGGGACCUGCCCACUAAUAAUUAAACUAGACAAAAUUCUAUCUUAAGGAAUUUGUGUAUUCUAAUAUGACCGUCUAACUUGAAACUCAGUGUCAUAAGUCAACAUGAAUUCAAGUGUUAAACUCCAGCCAGGAUUCUGUAGUUAUAACCCAAGUGAUUCUAGAUUUUUGAGGAUAAAUGCAUUCUGAAAGGAAAACAUGUUCAGAGCUCAGACCAGAUUAGUUUAUAUGAUGAUUAGAGAAUUUUCGGCGAAUAUCAGAGCUCUUAUUGUGUGUGCCAAUUUCGACCCAUGGUUUUAUUGGUCAGAAAUCAGUGAACUUUCAUUUUUUUUGGAGGAGAUUCCUGGUCCAUGUAUAUACUCAUCUUUUCAGCGAUCAGUUAAAAUAUCACUUCCUCAAGUGGGCUUCCUGAAUCACCACCCUCCCUCCUCUCUUCCCCCCACUACUUCCACUGUGUACUCUCAUAACAUGCUUAUUUCCACAUCGCAACAUUUGUUACGUGCAUGUUUUGUACUGAGUUAUUUCACCUCUGUGUUCCCUACAAGACUAGUUCUUUGAGGGCAGUUUCCGUAUUUAUCCUGUUUAACAUUUUUCCAGAGCUGAUGCAUGCAUUGUAUAUGCUCUUGCUCAGCAAAACUGUUUGUUUUUUCUUAUCUCCAGUUGUUAGAAUAGUACUUAGCAGAGUGUCUUACAUUGGGCUCCCUGAAAACAGACUGUGAGAUGGGGAGUUGUAGGCAGAAAGCCCACUGGGAGAGCUCUCUAGAGAUGCAGCUGUCAGGAAGUCAGGAGGCAGGACUGGGCAGAAGAAGUAGCUAUUCCACAAUGGAAUUGCAACUGAGGCCCCUCCACCUAUCUUAAGGGGAUCCCUGGGGCUGGGAUGUCCAUUCAAAGUCAUCACAAAGUAAGGCAAAGGGUGGGGCUUUUGUACCCAAAUGAAAGCCAGCUAUUGGGAGGAGACAUGGCCCUGGACAGGGCAGUUCCCUGCAGUCUGGGGACAAUUUACAGUGAGGUUUGCAGCUGUGGGUGACAGCUCUCGACAUUCCCAGAGGUUGGAGGAUGGGGUCAUGAACCCAAGGAAGGGAUCUUGGUG